ACUUCAGAGCAACUUACUUGGAAGAGCUGGGUGCCCUACAAAGAGGCCAGUCUGAUUAAGUUAAAGAACUAGCAAAAUACACCUCACCCUCAGAUGACCUUGGGCUAUCAGAAGGAAGAGCUACAGCUUUCCUCCAAAAGAAGAUUAUCCAAAGAUGAGAUUCGUUUGGAAUUUCUCCCAACUAAUUACUCAUCAGUGUGCCAAGAACUUUAAAGCAGAGAGGAGAAGGAAGAAAGAAAAGAAAGGGAAAAAAAGAAACAAAAAGCAAGGACAGUGGUCAAGGGCUCUCUGAACCUCUGAAACUUCUGUCCCGAAGAAAAAUCCACUAUGAAUUAAAUUCAGUGAAAUGAUCCUGAUAAUAGC
rnacentral:lncRNA from 1 species